rnacentral:lncRNA from 1 species
GUUACUGCAAUGUUUCAACACAUUGCAGAAAUGUUAUGCUAGAACAUGUUUUCAUGAAAUGUUAUCGACAUGUAUUAAAGUGAGUACGGAUUACGACCCAAACAGCCUAUAGUUGAACACAAGUUCCCCAGCCAGCACACUCCCUUUUCAUAAUGCUGUGGAUUGGUAUUGCAUUAAUAGAAUAUUUUCUCAACAGUUACAGUUUAAUCUGUAGACUAAAUGUCUAAAGAAAAUAUAGCAGAUAUGAGUAAGACAAAAGUUCACAUGAUUUGUUUGUUGCUGAUCACAGAGGCACAUAAACUGAUAUCACACAAACGUUUCGAAAACAAUUUUAAAAUGUUGUGACAAAAUGCCAUGUUGUCUCGUGAAAAGACGUCAGAAUGACGUCAAACUAUUACGUCAUAUUUUGCACCCGCCAUCAUCAGUUCAAGUUUACCCUACAUCCAAGUGACAUUGUGCAGCAAGAGCUGGAUCGUCGAACUCUGAUUUCUUAGGGGCCGCUUGUAAGCGAAACAAUUGCUGGCUGAGGUCGCUUCGUUCUCAAAUCAAAAUGGUGGCUGACUUUGCAAGCGGAACAAGAAAUGCGUGACUGGAUCAACGAGGAAAUGAGCAAAGAAAAAUGGAUCAAGGCAAAACCAAAGAAAGAAGAUUCUGACUAUCAUGAUGUAGAAAGGUGUAAACGUUUUCUAAAAUAAUUAAAAUCUCCACAGAACUGAGUCUUAAAGUUCUUUGUUGACUGAAUGUUGAAGACAUUACCAUGUCGGUCAUUGGUAUUGUGUUUUCUGCAGUACAUGCCUGAAGGGUGUACAGUCCCUGAUUUUUUGUCUUAAUUAUUUUUACCUUGUUAACAGUGAGUGGGCGGUGUACGUUUUGAACAUUGGCAGCCAAAGACUGAGCUUUUCCAGCACCCUGGUUCGUUUUCAAAACAUUUUGGAAACGUUAUAACCGAAUGUUCACAGAAAAAGUUCCUUUAACGUUUCUGGAACCAUACAAAAUCACAUGAAUAAAACGUUUUCAAAUUAAAGUAUUUCUUCAAUAUUUUACAAAAACGUUUUGGAAACGUUAUAACCAAAUGUUUCCGGAAAAUGGUUCUUAAACGUUUCUGGAACCAUUCAUAAUCACGUGAAAAAAACAUUUUUCCAACAUUUCCGGAACGUUUCAUAAAAUGUUUUAGGGAUGUUUUUAUAACAUUUUCGUGUAAAAUGGGUUACUAUUUGCCAAUGACCUGCUACUGCUGUCACAGACACCAAAAUGUCUCCAGACCAGCAUUAAUACCUUAUGCAGAUUUACAGAGGACUGGAAAUUAAAAGUUAAUAUAUCAAAAACCAAACUUAUUGUAGUUUGAAUGUUCAUUUUAAUGUAGGGACAGCGCCGCUUGAAAUCAGUGAAUCAUACACCUACCUUCGGCUAAUAUGUCAUCAAAAUGGUUCUUUCAAGAAAGCAAUCUCAACCUUGAAAGGAAAGGCUAUGCGGGCUUGGUUCAAAAUUUAACACAGUCUGACAACAAAUACCCAUUUAUCCAUAGAAAUCUUUCUACGACUCUAUCAUGCCCUUGUGGUUCCAAUAGCAUCCUACGGUUCUGAAAUAUGGGGCUGUCAGCUGUUUAAAUCUACUUCUGAUCCAUUGAUUGUCUUCUCCACAGUGUGAUACUUGAAGGUCCCCAUCGAAACAUCACCACUUAAAAAAGCCUGAUAUCAAAGUUUAAAGAUCUGUAUCUCAUUGAAACUGACCAGGUGCAAACCGGUGUAAACCAUAAGCUGCGACAUCUGGGGCGGAUAAAUGACAAAUAUGGAUUAAAAGAUAAUCUAUCUCACAACUGUGAAAGAAUACAAGCCACAGAAGGGCCCUUACCAAUCUCCGACUGAGUCUUCACAGCUUUGAAAUUGAAAGUUAAAGAUACUCCAGCACUCCAGUUGAAAAUAGGUUCUGUCCGAAUGGUCAGGUCUUGUUGCCAGGACUGUAUUUCGCAUGUUUAAGCUGAAAACAACAUAAGGGCCCUAAUUAGAUAAGAUAAAUUCAUGCAUUUAUGUUGUAUAUAUAUAUACCAUGUUCUCAUCUCUACCAUAUACAUGCUUUUUUGUACCAGGUCCCAAGUGGGCGUAUUUGUACCAUAAAAAGGAAAGAAAAAUUUCUAUUCUAUUCUAUCAAUACAGUAUCAACACUAUGUGUACGCUGCCAGCCACGUCAUACAUACAUAAAUGUUUAUAUA